rnacentral:misc_RNA from 1 species
CAUGUAUAAACUUUUCUUUGAUAGAUAAUAAAUAUUUAAAACUAGUGAAUGGUGUUGCAACUUAAAUAAGACACCCUAAUGGAGAAGUGUGACAAAAUUCUUAGGUGAUUGCAAAAUAAAUUAUAAAUUGAAGGGAAAGUUCUGUAGCUUCAUGAUUUGACCAACUGUGAUGUAUGCAGUGACUAUUCGGCAGUAAAGAAAUGUG